rfam:Colius striatus contig16116, whole genome shotgun sequence.
CCAAAGGCUCUUUUAAGAGCCACCUACUUGUGCUUUUGAAAGAGCU